GCCCCUAUCGUCUAACGGCUAGGACACCACUCUUUCAAGGUGGCGAUCGGGGUUCGAUUCCCCGUGGGGGCG
rnacentral:tRNA from 1 species